GAUGAACGCUAGCGGCAGGCUUAAUACAUGCAAGUCGAACGGUAAGUGUUUUAGCAAUAAAGCACGAGAGUGACGUACGGGUGCGUAACACGUAUGCAACCUACCUUGUACAGGAGGAUAGCUCGGGGAAACUCGAAUUAACCCUCCAUAAUAUCAUUGGAUGGCAUCAUUUGAUGAUUAAAACUCAGGUGGUACAAGAUGGGCAUGCGUCUGAUUAGUUAGUUGGCGGGGUAACGGCCCACCAAGACGAUGAUCAGUAGGGGACCUGAGAGGGUGAUCCCCCACACUGGCACUGAGAUACGGGCCAGACUCCUACGGGAGGCAGCAGUAGGGAAUAUUGGUCAAUGGAUGCAAGUCUGAACCAGCCAUGCCGCGUGCAGGAAGAAGGCGUUAUGCGUUGUAAACUGCUUUUGCCAGGGGAUAAAAUGAGCGUGCGCGCUUAAUUGAAGGUACCUGGUGAAUAAGCCACGGCUAACUACGUGCCAGCAGCCGCGGUAAUACGUAGGUGGCAAGCGUUGUCCGGAUUUAUUGGGUUUAAAGGGUGCGUAGGUGGCCCUGUAAGUCAGUGGUGAAAUACCUCAGCUUAACUGAGAGGGUGCCAUUGAUACUGCAGGGCUUGAGUACAGAUGAGGUAGGCGGAAUUGACGGU
rnacentral:rRNA from 1 species